rfam:Operophtera brumata OBRT01_Sc01750, whole genome shotgun sequence.
CGUUCUAUGGCCGAAUUGGUAAAGGCAUCGCCGAUCACAGGCGUGGUUGCGGGUUCGAGUCCCGCUGGAACGG